rnacentral:rRNA from 1 species
ACGAACGCUGGCGGCGUGCUUAACACAUGCAAGUCGAACGCGCCUGUCCUCUGGGUUUCUGGGGGGUGGGUGAGUGGCGAACGGGUGAGUAACACGUGAGUAACCUGCCCCCUUCUUCGGGAUAACGGUCUGAAAGGGCUGCUAAUACCGGGUAUUCACUGGUCUCCGCAUGGGGUCUGGUGGAAAGGUUUUUUUCUGGUGGGGGAUGGGCUCGCGGCCUAUCAGCUUGUUGGUGGGGUGAUGGCCCACCAAGGCUUUGACGGGUAGCCGGCCUGAGAGGGUGACCGGUCACAUUGGCACUGAGAUACGGCCCAGACUACUACGGGAGGCAGCAGUGGGGAAUAUUGCACAAUGGGCGCAAGCCUGAUGCAGCGACGCCGCGUGAGGGAUGGAGGCCUUCGGGUUGGGAACCUCUUUCGCCCGUGGUCAAGCCGCGACGUGGGUCGUGGUGAGGGUAGUGGGUAAAGAAGCGCCGGCUAACUACGUG